UUUUGGACAAUGGGCGCAAGCCUGAUCCAGCCAUGCCGCGUGAGUGAAGAAGGCCUUCGGGUUGUAAAGCUCUUUCGGUGAAGACGAAACGGUUAGUGCUAAUAACACUGACUAAUGACGGUACUCACAGGAGAAGCACCGGCUAACUACGUGCCAGCAGCCGCGGUAAUACGUAGGGUGCAGGCGUUAAUCGGAAUUACUGGGCGUAAAGCGUGCGCAGGCGGUUUGCUAAGACAGGUGUGAAAUCCCCGGGCUUAACCUGGGAAUUGCGCUUGUAACUGGCAAGCUAGAGUGUGGCAGAGGGGGGUGGAAUUCCACGUGUAGCAGUGAAAUGCGUAGAUAUGUGGAGGAACACCGAUGGCGAAGGCAGCCCCCUGGGUUAACACUGACGCUCAUGCACGAAG
rnacentral:rRNA from 1 species